UCCUGUAGCGCUGAACACCCGACCUGAAGAUGUGCUUGUAGAGCAUGCAGGAAAAAAGCAAAUGUUCUUAGAUUUCCACCAUGGGAGGUGACCAUCCUCUCCAUGGAUCAUGGGCUCCCUAAAAUAACCAGUUGGGUCUUUUUCUGCACGUUGCUCCAUGGUGUGAUGCACAGGCUCUGCUGAAGCACUUUUUAUUAGACAAAACUGCUAACAGUUGACUUUUUGGAGGCUUUGGCAAAUCUUACUCCUCCUAUUUGGCCUUUGGUCCAGUAGCUGCUUUAAAUAUGUCCUUGAUCAGGUAGAAUUUUAGACUAUACUAUUUAAUCUCGUUGAGCUGAUCAGAGCAUUGUGUUUGUGACCACAUUUUUAGUCAGUAAUAAAAUCCACAAGUCUUUUGAUGUCUACAGGUUCUAAUAUGUUCCAACCCUUAGGAAAAGCCCAAUAAUGCAAAAGUUUAUGGUAUAAAAAAGUCAAAACUCCAUCUUUGUAAAGCAAGUUUGCUGAGAAACCUUUUUUUUUUAAGUUAUUUUUUAAAUAUGAUCGUCCGCUCAGAGUUCCACAUUCAGGCUGAAUGUUAAAAUAGUCUUCUACCCCUGUCUCCUGCAUUAGCCACCGAUAGAAAAUAGAUGGGGAAACGCGUGGAUUAGAAAAAGCCACACAUGUUCACGCCACACUGUAAAUUAGCAUUAACAGACUCCUCCAACAAAGCUCGGUACCAGGAAAGGUUGUUUAUUUUUGCAGCCAGGAGAGCAGAGCACAUCUCUGAAAGUAGAAGUUUACCAAUCCGCUCCACAACAUGGCAGAACUCCUUCAGACUUGUGUUGUUUGGGGAGGUAAAUCAUCCACAUUGUAAAGCAAAAGGUGGCAAUGAAAGGGUUGUGUAGCUAUUAACAAUUCAGAAAUCAGAUGUCUAAAUAUCUUGAAUGAUAAUGAGUAAGACUCCAAUCCUGCCGCUUUCUGCCCCUCUCUAACUUCUUUAACUUUAUGCCAGAGAGAAUAACUAACAAAAUACCACAGCAAAUGUAUCGAGAAAAAAAAAAAAAGAAGUGGAUCAUCUGCCUUGGCGGAAGAAGGCUGGACAAAAGCCCAAGGAAACUUGGGCCAGAUUUUAAAAAUAAGAUAAGCUUGUUAAAAUAAGUGCUUGAAUAGAUGGCAGCUGGACCUCAUUUCUUGGUUGUUAGAGGUAUUUUACCUCAUAUCUCAAAAGCUGCUUAAGUUUAGACUGGUGCUGGUUCCAGGCAGUUCUGCUUGAGGGGUAAUUCAUACCUCCAGAGCCGCUGGGGUCUCAUCGGUGUCACUCAUCCGUCUGAACAUCUUAUGAGUUGUUAUCACUGGCGGGUUGUUUACCAGCCAACAAGGAAGAGAUUUUUGACACAACCUUAAGGUGUAACUGUAAAACAGCUUGGCAAGGAAUGCUGAGACCAUACUUGGUUUGAUGAAUAAUGCAUAAAACCAACACAUCUGAUUUCAAUGAGAGGAUCAGAGAAUUAUUUUUAGAAUAUUGUAGAGACUGUUGCAUGGGCUUCAGGGCUUUAUUGAUUUUAAUAGCUUGCAAACCUUGGAAAUGAGUAUUUUACAGCUCUGUGUCACGGCCCGUGGUGAGCCUCCUGCAUGUAACCCUGUUUUCCUCUGAGCAUUGUUUCAGGUGGGCGUGUCUGAGAGUCUCCAGCUGCAGCUAAUCCUGUCAUCAAGGUCCAGGGGAUUUAAGGUGCAGUGUGACACUUCACUUCGCCGGAUGAUCACUCUGUUUGGGUAGCGCUAGCCUUUUACCGGUCUCGAUCUCGUGGUUUUCCUAGUUCCUGCUUCGCUCCACAACCCACAAUCUCCAUACCAGCUUGGACUCCUGCAACCCAGAUCACGCUGUCUCUUCCCCUGGCCGCCCGCUCUCAGCCGCUCACCUGCUCACACCAAACCUCUGCUCCUACCUCCCCUCUGGUUCAACGGUUGCUUCACCUUCUGGAUCCUUCCUGCUCACCCGGACCUGACCUAGCCCUCCCUGAGCCUCUCACCACUACCUACUAUCCAAUCUCCUCCUGGAAUCUUGCUGCCAGUCCUGCGCUGCGUCUGUUCCCGUUUUUCCUGUUACUCUUCAUCUAUUAAUAAAGACGUUUUUAUGUACUCACCUGUUCUCCGUU